UACCAGCACCCCGAGUGGUCGGGACGAUUAUUGGGCCUAAAGCAUCCGUAGCCGGUUCUACAAGUCUUCCGUUAAAUCCACCUGCUUAACAGAUGGGCUGCAGAGGAUACUAUGGAGCUAGGAGGCGGGAGAGGCAAGCGGUACUUAGUGGGUAGGGGUAAAAUCCGUUGAUCCAUUGAAGACCACCAGUGGCGAAGGCGGCUUGCCAGAACGCACUCGACGGUGAGGGAUGAAAGCUGGGGGAGCAAACCGG
rnacentral:rRNA from 1 species